rnacentral:rRNA from 1 species
UUGUCGGAGAGUUUGAUCCUGGCUCAGGAUAAACGCUGGCGGCGUGCAUGAGACAUGCAAGUCGAACGAGUGACUCGGGCUUGCUCGAGUCACUAGUGGCGGACGGCUGAGUAACGCGUAGGUGACCUGCCCCGAAGUGGGGGAUAACUGCCCGAAAGGGUGGCUAAUACCGCAUGUGGUCACACGUUCGAUCGUGUGAGUGAAGCCGCAAGGCGCUUCGGGAGGGGCCUGCGUCCGAUUAGCUCGUUGGUGGGGUAACGGCUCACCAAGGCGACGAUCGGUAGGUGGUCUGAGAGGACGAUCACCCAGACUGGGACUGAGACACGGCCCAGACUCCUA